CCACGCGAGACGAAAAAGACCACCGCACCGCGCUCAACGUGCAGGCCCCGCACCCGUCCACUUUCUCCUCCAGCGAAUCGAGCGGGCAGCGAGCGACAGUGAAAGAAACGCUCCCCACGCGCACGAACCCUAGCCGCCGCUCUCCUCUCCCGCGACCCCCAACCACCACCGCUCCUCUCUCCUCUGCCUCGACUCCCAGCCACCCAACCCAAACUCCGGUGGCCUCCUCUCCCUCCAGCGCCGCCGUUCCACCAUCACCUUCCUUCGUCUCCAAAGGAAGGGAAGGGAAGGGGAGGGGAGGCCCCAGAUCGAGCGGAGCGACGCCCAGAUCCGCAGCGGCACCGGCACCAGCGCGCUGUCGUCCACCCGGUCCUCAAGGAAGGCCAUGGAUGGGGGCGGAACCCUAGCCGGCGACUCCUUUUCGUGGCCGCCAAAUCCUUCCCUAGAGCUGCACCGUCAUCCAUCUCUCUACAUGUUUCUCGAUUCGCUGUCGCCACGCGUUGUGCUUCUGGAUCACGUGCAAGUCAUUGCCAUUGGAGAGCAGGGGUGGCGUGGUAUUUAUGGUGGGCAUGGAGCAGGGGAGGAUGAGAGGGGUGGCCAUGAGAUCUGAGAGAAAAGGAGAAGGGGAUGAAUCUUGAGGAAGAUCUUGGUGAAGAAAAAGGUGAUCGAACACAUCCUCGUGAUGGUCCUACUACCCCGUUGGAGGCUGCAUUCCCUGCACAAGCCUCUGAUGAUUUUGUGCCAAGGGAUCCUCCAAGGUCUACUACAAAGGGUAGGGCAAAGAGUCGACGGUACAAAUCGGCGCUGGAGCUACACCCAAAGAAGAAAAACAAAUGCACCCAGUGCCAAUCUACAGAGCACACUGCUGGUGUGUGUCCACUCAGGCUGCUGUGAUUCUCUUUCAUCGUUUGUAACUUUGGGACAAAAAGGAAAAGAAUGAUGGUUUUUGAGCAAUGUUGGGACCAAGUGGACACAUUCAGCAUCUAUGCUUUCUCUUAUCUAAUUUAUGCUCCUUGAAUUAGUCAUGCACUGUGUAAAAAAGGUUGCUAUUUGUGCCUUUGUUGGCAACUGGUUAACUAUUUAGUUGUUGCACAAUUGUAUUUCCA